rnacentral:misc_RNA from 1 species
GCCAAGACUUCCCCUUCAAAAAACCUGUCACAAUCAAUUCCACCGGAAUUAAAACACAAUCAGUAAGAUGUAGGGAAACAAAAAUUAGAAAACACACGUCAACCUAACAGAGUAUUACUAUUGAUCAAUACAAAACAUCAAUAUACAAUGCAUUAUGCAGAUCUGUCAAAUGUCAAGAAGAAAGUAUUGCAUAUACCUCAGUAGUUCAGAGACUGGGUAAUCAAGUUUCCUGAUCACCUCAAUAAGUAAGCACAAUGUAUCAGUGUAGAACAUAGGUAGCUCCUCAAACUGCCAGGUAUAACCUGACAAUUACUAAUCCAAAGCACUAAGACUACUACACCAUCGAAAACAUAUUCAUAGGCCUUCUCAAAAAAGAAGAUGAAAAACAUAUUCAUAGAUAGUUUGACACAUCAAGACUUGACUUGAUGCAUUGUACAUGCCACUAAGGACAAAAGUGGAUUCACUAAUUAUCUGCCCCUUGCCAAUGCAGAGUCAAGGGAAAAUGAUACAUCAACCAUGUUUCAAAAAUACGUUUACAUAGUCCAAUUUUCAAUUUCUCUCUCCAAAGGAACAUGUGGAAAACAUGUUUUACCUGCUGAAAAGAGAUGAGUAGUUUUCAGAGUUGAGAAAAAGAAAUUAACUCAACUAACAAACGUAUUUUACAAACAGUCUUUUCUCGUUUAUGCAAAAAUUUCUGAUUAUAUUUUAUAAGUUUUAAUGUUUUAUUACCUUGUAAAAUGACAAAUUCAAGUGACAACAACAGAACUUGUGAAGAAGUUAUUCAAAUCAGAACAUAAUAAUAAUAAUAAUAA